UACGGAGGGUGCAAGCGUUGUUCGGAAUUAUUGGGCGUAAAGAGCACGUAGGCGGAUUUGUAUGUCGAUUGUGAAAGCCCAGGGCUCAACCUUGGAAUUGCAGUCGAAACUGCGGAUCUUGAAUACUUGAGAGGGUGGGGGAAUUCCUGGUGGAGAAGUGAAAUUCGUAGAGAUCAGGAGGAACAUCGGAGGCGAAGGCGCCUGCCUGGCAAUGUAUUGACGCUGGAGGUGACGAAAGCGUGGGAGCAAACAGG
rnacentral:rRNA from 1 species